rnacentral:rRNA from 1 species
GACGAACGCUGGCGGCGUGCCUAAUACAUGCAAGUCGAGCGAGACUCUUCGGAGUCUAGCGGCGGACGGGUGAGUAACACGUGGGCAACCUGCCUGUAAGACUGGGAUAACACCGGGAAACCGGUGCUAAUACCGGAUAAUCCUUUUCCUCUCAUGAGGGAAAGCUGAAAGUCGGUUUCGGCUGACACUUACAGAUGGGCCCGCGGCGCAUUAGCUAGUUGGUGAGGUAACGGCGCACCAAGGCGACGAUGCGUAGCCGACCUGAGAGGGUGAUCGGCCACACUGGGACUGAGACACGGCCCAGACCCCUACGGGAGGCAGCAGUAGGGAAUCUUCCACAAUGGACGAAAGUCUGAUGGAGCAACGCCGCGUGAGCGAUGAAGGCCUUCGGGUCGUAAAGCUCUGUUGUUAGGGAAGAACAAGUACCGGAGUAACUGCCGGUACCUUGACGGUACCUAACCAGAAAGCCACGGCUAACUACGUGCCAGCAGCCGCCGUAAGAC